UACGUAGGGUGCAAGCGUUGUCCGGAAUUAUUGGGCGUAAAGAGCUCGUAGGCGGUCUAUCGCGUCGGCUGUGAAAUCCCGAGGCUCAACCUCGGGUCUGCAGUCGAUACGGGCAAACUAGAGUAUUGCAGGGGAGACUGGAAUUCCUGGUGUAGCGGUGAAAUGCGCAGAUAUCAGGAGGAACACCGGUGGCGAAGGCGGGUCUCUGGGCAAUAACUGACGCUGAGGAGCGAAAGCGUGGGGAGCGAACAGG
rnacentral:rRNA from 1 species